rnacentral:rRNA from 1 species
UGGGGAAUUUUGGACAAUGGGCGAAAGCCUGAUCCAGCAAUGCCGCGUGUGUGAAGAAGGCCUUCGGGUUGUAAAGCACUUUUGUCCGGAAAGAAAUCCUUGGCUCUAAUACAGUCGGGGGAUGACGGUACCGGAAGAAUAAGCACCGGCUAACUACGUGCCAGCAGCCGCGGUAAUACGUAGGGUGCAAGCGUUAAUCGGAAUUACUGGGCGUAAAGCGUGCGCAGGCGGUUUGCUAAGACCGAUGUGAAAUCCCCGGGCUCAACCUGGGAACUGCAUUGGUGACUGGCAGGCUAGAGUAUGGCAGAGGGGGGUAGAAUUCCACGUGUAGCAGUGAAAUGCGUAGAGAUGUGGAGGAAUACCGAUGGCGAAGGCAGCCUCCUGGGCCAAUACUGACGCUCAUGCACGAAAGCGUGGGGAGCAAACAGGAUUAGAUACCCUGGUAGUCCACGCCCUAAACGAUGUCAACUAGUUGUUGGGGAUUCAUUUCCUUAGUAACGUAGCUAACGCGUGAAGUUGACCGCCUGGGGAGUACGGUCGCAAGAUUAAAACUC